AUCACUUCUCAGCCUUUUGGCUAAGAUCAAGUGUAGUAUCUGUUCUCACCAGUUUAAUAUCUGAUACAUCCUCUCUUCGAGGACAUUAUAUUAAAUGGAUUUUUGGAGUAGGGAGUUGCAAUAAGAGUUUGCUCUGUCCACUCCAUGUGUCAACCCAGUAUCUCUGUAUCUCCAGCAUUGCAGUAUCUCAC